UACGGAGGGUGCAAGCGUUAUCCGGAUUUACUGGGUUUAAAGGGUGCGUAGGUGGGUAGGAAAGUCAGUGGUGAAAUCUUCGGGCUUAACCCGGAAACUGCCAUUGAUACUAUUUAUCUUGAAUACUCUGGAGGUAAGCGGAAUAUGUCAUGUAGCGGUGAAAUGCUUAGAUAUGACAUAGAACACCUAUUGCGAAGGCAGCUAACUACGCGAAUAUUGACGCUGAGGCACGAAAGCGUGGGGAUCAAACAGG
rnacentral:rRNA from 1 species